GGUUGAUUCUUCUUCAUCUUCUUGAUUCAGGAAUGGUUUUUUAUACUUCCAUUUAAUGGAAAAAAGAGAAUCUUCUUCAUGAUAAAUUGUAUUUGGAUUGUUAUUGGAUCCAAAUCAACCUCUCAUAUGUCCAAAGAAUAAUUCAAUUGCAUCUUGGCUAAAUUUAUAAGUUAAGACAAAUUUGAAUCCAUGAUUAACCAGUAAAUCUUUAGAUAUAUUUAUAAUUGAUUUUACUGAUGUGGCAAAUCCUAUGAUGAAUGUUUUUCUCUGGCUUUUCCACAAAGGCACUCCAUCUAUAGUUUUUAGUACUGAAGAGCAUCUGCCACUGAACUACUUAGAGUUUGUACUGCAAGUUUAACUUUCAUGCUAUUGCCCUUCCAGUUAAUGUGUGCUGAUCCAAUUUUAUUACCUAAUUUAAAUCCAGCUUCGUUUUGUAAUUCAAAUAACUGUUCAAAAUACCUACAUUCAAUAAGCUGUUCAUUUUCAUUUUUAAAUGCUCUGAAUGUCCCUAAAGCAUUUCUUGCCAAUUUUAUAUUGUGACAGGCGUCUGGAGUAAAAUAUACAUUUGGUUUUGUUUGAUCUAUACUAAAAUAAGGUUUAAUAUUAGAAUAUUCUUCACUUAAUUUGCAUCCUAAUACAUUAAAAGUACUGCUAUGACAUAAGCUCCAUCCCAAGUUACGCUUAAUACAUUAGUUUUAUAUUUUUGGCAUUCAGUUAUAGCAAAUUUUAUAAGCUGUGCCUGUACUGUAGAUUUAAUUUUGUCUACAAACCAAUAACUAAUCGGCCACUUCCACUUUCCUUUUAAGCUUGACAACACAAAAACUAAAACUUCUGAAGCUGGUGUUUCACAUUCUUCAAUACUUAAAUGGUUACCAUAAUCACAAUAACCAAUAAAUCUACCAAAUUAAUUCUUCUAACUGUCUGUUGUAGUUUUUUAACUUUUUGCCUUAACAUUUUAACAUUUUUUUC